GUUGAACCCUGGUCCUUACAUUUUCCUUACCUUGGACUAUAUUAUUCAUCCACAUUAAAUAUAAUUUAUAUGUGGCUAGGCAGAAUUCCUAUUAAAAUGGCAAUCAUUAGUAACUCCCUUCUCGUGAGGAAGUUAUAGGAUCAUAUUUAGAACCACAAGAGGCCUCUGGUGACUGGGCACUCUAACAUCUGGUUUUGUCAAACUUUUGAAUAACGUUAGGUGAUACAGAUACUGUGUUUAGGGGUGGGAAGCUUCCUGUAUAAAUGAGGUUGGAUAUAUCAAAAUCUGCUCAGCCUCACAAAGUACACAUCGUGAAUGCUCAGACCCCACAGAACAUCAAAGCAAGAAGGCAUUUUGCAAUUUAGAAAAGUUAUUGAUAGCAAAGAGGAAUUCAGGGAGUAAACAGCUCUGGUCUAUAUGGGAAAUGAACUAGACAGCCAAUCUCGACAUUCCCAUCUCGAAUUUCCUUUCAUGAAAAACAUUUGCGUAUUGUUUGCAUGACCAGAACAGCGGGCACAAUAAAGUUUAAGCUGGCUUGAGAGCAUUUAGUCUGAGAAUACUACAGUGUCUCACAGCUAGUGCCUCAAAGUGCUAACUUUACCUUGCACAGUUGCUUCAUUAAGUAGAGAAGAUAAUGUCCACCCCAGAGGACAACUGGACACAUGGCUGCUUUUGCCCUGGCAGUCCCACUGCAAGGCUAAGACUUUGGAUGCCUACCCAAGGGCAACCCAAACUUGAUCAGGAUCCAGAGCCCUAGAGACAAAGAGUCCACAUUAUGAGUGUGCACAGAUGUAGACAAAUCAUUUCCAAGAAGAAAAAAACAAAAAACAAAAAAAAAAAAAACAGUCUCUCUAUCGAAGUAGAUCUGCCUCUGCCAAAACAGUCAGCUCAAUUGGUCAUUGCUGAUGCUGCAGUGGAGCUAGCCAAACAUCUGCCCAGAUGCUUCAGUGGAAUGCAAAAGCAGAAAGAUGUAGCAUGCACACAGUAGUGAUGCUCCUGAUACUUGGAGAUGCAUCUUGCUGUGCAAGAGGCCCAUUCAGCUUCAGCAAGUAACAGAUGACCGCAGACUGAUAACAGGAGCCAUGCAAGCCUCAACUUGAUGGGUAAACUAUUUUGAUGAAUGUGGAAAACUUGACUAUUUCUUAGGAGGAUCUCUUGAAAUCUGGAAACAAGGUUGUAUUGUGACUGUCUUCAGCUUACUGAUUUCAGGAGAAAGCACCUUUUGCCUGCCCUUUUGUCCUCUGAAACCAAUGAAGUUGUUUGGGCUGCUUUUCAAAGCAUAUCCUCCUGGGUUGGUCUCGGGCUAGCAUUAAUGGAGCUUACAUAUUUGCCUAAGGGUCAUGAGAACGCUUGUUUGGCUUGUUGGUAGGAAGACUGGAAACUCACGGCCUUAAUAAGGAAAGCUGACCGAGUGCUAACGCUACACUCAAUAAACCUUUCCAAAUUGCCACAGGUGACAUGAAAUAUUAACAUGCUUUUCAAUUAUUAAUAGGAAUAUAAAUAGAUCCUGUUGGAAAUGCAGGGCACU
rnacentral:lncRNA from 1 species